AAAAAAGAAGAAGAAGAAGAAGAAGAAGAAGAAGAAGGGGUGGUUGACUAGUGGCUAGGUCAAGAUAGUUUAAAGAAAAUAGUGUUGGGAAGAAAGAGUGAUAAAAGAAAAUAGUAUUGGGAAGUCUAUGCAAAUAUAUCUGAAUCUAUAACAAAAGUUCAUACAAAAGUAUGGAACUCUAUAACAAAAGCCUAUACAAGUUUAUUAAAAAUUCAGGUAAAACCUAUAGAAGUUAUACAAUUCCGGGAAAUCAGGAAAUCUGUCACUUAAAAAAAAAUCUUUCAAAAUCGUAUACAAUCCUAAUUGAAUACAACCCCCUAAGUUUUCUAAUUCUUUUUUUUUUUUAGUACAAACGAUAGUCUAAAUGAGACGGGAGGGAGAUUUCACACACACACACACAACUAUGAUGUCGUGGGAUUUGAACUUGAAACCUUUGGUCUGUAAGUCAAGACCCUUAUUUAAGUUCUCUAAUUUAUGACUUCCCUAUUUCUGGUAAGUAAACAUGCCUCGAAAGAGUAACAUUAGAUGACUCCUAUAUAGGCAAAUGCUUGGACCCCUUUCCAUUUAUGGGCUUCACUAUGGGCCAAGAUAGGCCCACACAAACAAAAUCCAUAUUGUGGUCUAUUACUUAACAACAUAUCAACAACCAUCCUCGAAAAUGAGAAUAUUUGGAU
rnacentral:lncRNA from 1 species